UUGUAGCAUACACCUGGGCGCCGCUGGUUGACCAUAUCUGUUGAGCUCACUGCCCGGUGGUGACUCUACCGUUUGGUCAGUCAACUGGAUGACACGCGAACGGAUAUGCAACAGGACGCGUUGGCGUCAUCAUCCCAAAGCGGUGCUACUAACGCAACUCUACCACCAGCAGACCACCCCCUCUCCGCUCUCGCCGUCACUCUGCCUUAGCUACGUGAACUCUGACAUUUCUAUGCUGGGAGCUUUGCCCGGGCUCGUCUACGCACAGUUGACGUUGUUGCUGCGCCACGUGCUGCUCUUGAAGCGCAUCGUCUCCGUACACAUUCCGCCCGCGCACAGCGAUGCGCUCGUGUAAUUGCAAAGCUGCAUUGCAGCUCGUCGCGUCGUUUUAAAUUUGGUUGCAAUAGCAGAUAUGAAAUUCUGUUGCCGUUUUUAGCUGCAAUGUGGGACGAAACAUUGCAGGAAGCGUUUAAUACGCGUAUGUAUGUGUAAGUGUGUAAGUGCAUGUGUGCCGUUGAUACAACUGUGAUUACGUAACAGCAAUUGUGUGAAGGAAAUUUCACAGGAGAUGAUAAAUUUUAUCAAAUGGAACGUGCUACGAAUAGAUCUUUACGGAACAACCUGUGACACAGCUUAGUUUUAUCUGUUCUUCAAACGGGUAAUUACUGUUCGAACUUCUUCAUGCUCGGGCAAUGGAACGUCCGCUCCAGCGUCAUCGAUUGGAAAAUCGGGUUCACCAUCUUCUGGUGUUAAGCUUUCACUGCCAUUUACCAGGCUUUGGCCAGGAAGAUGCAGGGAAUUUUAUGUUAUGAAGUAAAGCGCAGAAAAUAAUGUUUGGAAAUGGGUUUUAUGAGAACUUCUUUCUAUUCCUGCCACGGGGAAACCAUAUUGACCGGCAUGGUUUAUAGCUGCACCAUCAGCCAAUUGCAAAAUUAAUGACUAUGCUACUGCUAUUGCCAUAAAAACGACCGUCUCAGAGGUUUGCUUUCUUUUCGUUCCAUUUAAUUGGACACCUACACAAUUUUCUGACAAAGUAAGAUGGUAAGCUUACAGUGGGCUAGUUUUAAACUGGCGUUCCAUGAAUAAAAAUGAAUUUAGUGAGAAUAUCUGAAAAAAAAAUCAUGUGAAUAUUGUAAACUCUAUAAAUUUUGGGAAGAAAUUUUUGGGAUUUUUUUCCUUUUUUUCUCAAAAUUUUCAAUAUUCACAUGAUUUUUUCAGAUAUUCUCAUGUUCUAAAACCGUGAGUGAAUGGAUAGUAUCUCACAUAUCACCUAUGGAUACAUGAUAUACUCUUAUACGAUGUUUAUGGUAGUCAUCGUUUCUUAGUCGGAAAAAUAUGUCUCAAUUUCAUAUAUGUAUGUAUAUUUUUUUUUAUUUUUUCGUUCUCUCCCAAAAAGCGACGUUUAUGAUUUCGAGCCGAAGAAAAGUUGAUGUUAUCAGUUAGCGAAUAAUAUCAAAAUUCAUCCCUUCUAAUUUCAUUUUAUUGUUGGCACCUUAUCUCAAGCACUUUCCUCGUACCAGUUUAGUCACCUUGACGUCAAUACUAACAAUAAAAACCAUAUAGUUGCUCGUUUAUUUGAUGUGCACAUUCUUACUUUCUGCUCUCCUCCAUUCAAGCAUCCUACAUUACUAUCUUGCCACCUUUUUGUUAACGUUGUUGCCAUUUUAGUUAAUGAUGAUGAACACAAAUUAUUGUUACAAGCUUUUUGCUUUUCUCAUUGUCUCAGCGUGGCACUUUUCUUUUAUUCCUGUUAUCUGUCAAAUCAAAUGACCAUGAGAAUUUGGACUUCCCCUGCUCCACAGUCUCCAUAGACCACUUACACAUAUACAUAUAUAUAAUAUUCAUAAGUACAUAAAUAUUACAUAGGUGGCAUCAUACAUAUUUACAUUUGUCUUUCUCACUUCCAAGCGCAAAGUGUAAUAUUUGUAUUUAUUCGUUCAUGUAACUUUUUUGCUCCUGCCAGCUGUUUUAUUUACUUUUUAUUGUAUUUUUUUCUCGCUCCCUCCACCAAUAUUUGCCGCCUUCAACAUCAGAGCUGUCAAUUUUAGCAUUUUUACUUGAAAAGUGUUUUAAAUAAAUGAUGCUGUCAGGGCAACAAUCAUCAACAUGGUGUUAAGCGGAAGCGAAAGGAUACGGAAACGGCGACUGUUACCGGCGCGCUGCAACACUGAUGCUGACAUUGUUAGUUGUAUUUUUUUCAUCUGUCUCUUUAACAAACAGCUGCUGCUCUUAUACUACAAGUACAUAUGUAUAACUUAGUAUCUGCAUAAGUAAAUAUGUAGAUAAAUAAAAAAAAUAUUCCCUGAAGUACCCGAAAGGAAAAUGCGCUGUUCGAUGUAAGCAACAGAUGAGUUUAAGGUUAGGAUUUACUAGAACGUUUGCUAAACACCUCUUGUAUACACUUACAAUACUACACAAAACAAUUACAAUUUGGAAAGCAUGAAUUUAAGUCAAACUUCGGUUAGGUUAAGUUAAUGGCAGAUCCAGAGAUCGUAAUUGUACCACUGUAUGCAGUCCUUUGUGAAGCCAUAAAAAUAGCACUCCUGUAAUUUGAACUUAUAAGUCAGCGCCUUGUAGGCAUGAGCUCCCAAGUGUUUAAGUCUUAAUCUCGCAAAUGUGGGACAAUCAAGAAGGAAGUGCCUAAGUAUUUCCUCCUCGACUUCUACCAUACAGCUUCUGCAGCUGGCGACCGAUAAGAUUAUCUACCUAACUGCAUGAACCUUACUGCCAAUGAUCAAUCAGAACCGCCCAAAACUAGGGAGAUACCAGCCUUACUGAAGGCAAAGAGCUCACUGGAUCUCUUGGGAUCCAUCUUAUGAUAAAAAUAUGUUGCGACCGCAUAUGAACCUAUGACAGCCAAGUUUUCGUGAAACGCAGCUAUCCAGGAGUAGAACACAUGAGGAGAAGCACUAACUCAUUUUCAUACAACUGAUAGCGGGGUUAGGAUACCCUUCAUUACCAACUCAUCAGCUUUACAGUUGACAGCGAUUGAGCUGGGGCCUAGCAUGCAGUCUUAUCACAAAGUGACUCGAUUUCAUUGAUAACGAGGUCAGGCUUUCCUUAACAUGCCUGCCGCAAGGGUAGUAAGCACAAGGCAUUGUCACUCUGCUAUCAAAGUGGAUAGUCACUUCUCUGAAGAAAGCUCCACUCCAGAGCAUUAGAUCUUCUACUUAUAAAUUCCUUCAUUAAACUUUCCUUCAAGCUUUGGCUCAUCCGUAAAUAAACUCACUGCCCAUCUCCUCCAAUGACUUCUACCCCUCCACAACUCCUUCAAACAGAGAAAUACCCGACAGAGUUUCUCUCCAUGAUCCAAAAGAUGCGGAAUUUGAUCAAAAAAUCAAAAAAUGUGACGAUUUCCGAAAAUUCAGACAUGUGUUCAUUUAGAAACCCAGAUUCACGGAGUCUAAUAGCAACUUUUGCGGCCAUACACCUUCCGACGAUAUCUAUGGGCAUUAUAUGCAAAAUGGCUCAAUUUCGUGCCACUGGGUUAAGUCCUACUCUAUUAGAAUCCCCCAAGGUGAUCUAGUAACCGAUUCCCAGAGCCUACUAAAAUUAUGGAGGGAAGACUUCUCCAGCCUGCUAAAUGCCAGUGAAGGUAUAACAUCAGGAGAUGGCGAACCUGAUUCUCCAAUCGAUGACGAUGGAGCAGUCGUUCCAUUAUACCGACCAUUAAGAAGUCUGAAUAGCAAUUAGUCGUCUGAGAAACAACAAAGCGGCGAGGGCAGAUGGAUUGCCAGCCGAGCUAUUCAAACACGGUGGCGAAGAAGGAGCAUGCAUCAGCUUCUUUGUAGAAUAUGGUCGGAUGAAAGCACCCCCGACGAUUGGAAUUUAAGUGUGCUUUGCCAAUCCAUAAAAAGAGAGACCGCACAAUCUGCGCCAACUACCUGACAUAAGCCUCCUCAUCAUCGCGUACAGGGUUCUAUCGAGCGUAUUGUGUGAAAGAUUAAGGGCCACCGGCUUUAGACCUGGAAAAUCAACAGAUAUUCAAGUCUUGGAAAAUACCCGUGGAAAGAGAAUCGACACGCACCACCUCUUUGCCGAUUUCAAAGCUGCUUUUGACAGCUCGAGCGAAAGGAGUUGCCUUUAUGCCACGAUGUCUGAAUUUGGUAUUCCUGCAAAACUAAUAGGGCUGUGUAAACUGACACUGAACAACACCAAAAGCUCCUAUGCGCUGUUGUUAACUCGGCUAUAACUGCGUAAACGGUUUCUACGAUAGUAAAGAAGAAGGCCAGGAUGGAGGAAUUUCACGCAAGUGUUCACCAAAUUCACUUGGGAGUGGCCAGAAGCGAUUAUUUUACAUAUGGCUCAAGCAGGUCACGACUUCAAGUCGUAGGUGAGCCAAAGUGGGAAGGCGAAACAUCCCCUAAUCAGGGUUGUGAGCUGGGUUUGGAACUUGCCACGCAAAAAGCCCUACCGAUGAAAAGGAAACAAGAAGAAGAAGAAGGCCAGUAUAUUCGAUUUGAUUUGUUUUUUUUAUCGGUUUCAGCACUCCAUUUCCCUGCAGGGUAUGCUCGAAUAAGUUAACAAAUAAGAGGUAAAAAUAAAACAGCCCUGCGUGGGCGCGUACAACCAACGCACUUUGAUGCCGUGAGGCAACAGGAGGCACCAUGAAAUAUUGUGGCGCAACAGCGAAGAUAAAUGAGGCAGCAGUUCGGUUUCAUUGCGUGCAAGAAAUAAAAAAAUAAGUAUUAAAUCGGAGUCGAAUUGCUUCAGUAAUUUCAGAGAGUGGGGGUAAAAGGUAUUAAAUUUUACGCAUAUAAUUUAUAUAAAAUAGAUUAAUGGUUAAUUUUUUUUUUGGAUCUUUAACAUGUCAAUCCACGGAAUGAGC